UACCUACUCCCUCCGUUUCACAAUACAUGCUUUUCAUUUGUUAAAAUACAGAUAUAUCUAGACAUGUUUUAGUAUGUAGGUACAUUUAUUUUUGAACAAAUAAAAGUCAAGUAUUUUGAAACGAAGGGAGUAUGUA
rnacentral:pre_miRNA from 1 species